ACACGACUACAUUAGAUACCCCGGUAGUCCUAGCCGUAAACGAUACUCGCUAGGUGUCGGCCACGGUGCGACCGUUGUCGGUGCCGUAGGGAAGCCGCGAAGCAAGCCACCUGGGAAGUACGGCCGCAAGGCUGAAACUUAAAGGAAUUGGCGGGGGAGCACAACAACGGGUGGAGCUUGCGGUUUAAUUGGAUUCAACGCCGGAAAUCUUACCGGGACCGACAGCAACAUGAAGGCCAAGCUGAAGACUUUGCCGGAUUAGCUG
rnacentral:rRNA from 1 species